AAUAUUCCAGCAAUAUGACGGCAGGGGCACACCAGAAAUGGGCUUCACACAUUGUGUACAUGUGAAGAAUCGAACCCGGGCCUUUGGCGUGACGAGCGAACGCUACAACCACUCGGCUACCCCACCGCCCC